rnacentral:rRNA from 1 species
AUUGAACGCUGGCGGCAGGCUUAACACAUGCAAGUCGAGCGGAGAUGAGGUGCUUGCACCUUAUCUUAGCGGCGGACGGGUGAGUAAUGCUUAGGAAUCUGCCUAUUAGUGGGGGACGACAUUCCGAAAGGAAUGCUAAUACCGCAUACGCCAUACGGGGGAAAGCAGGGGAUCUUCGGACCUUGCGCUAAUAGAUGAGCCUAAGUCGGAUUAGCUAGUUGGUGGGGUAAAGGCCUACCAAGGCGACGAUCUGUAGCGGGUCUGAGAGGAUGAUCCGCCACACUGGGACUGAGACACGGCCCAGACUCCUACGGGAGGCAGCAGUGGGGAAUAUUGGACAAUGGGGGCAACCCUGAUCCAGCCAUGCCGCGUGUGUGAAGAAGGCCUUCGGGUUGUAAAGCACUUUCAGUCAGGAGGAAGGUGGUGAGGUUAAUACCCUCAUCAAUUGACGUUACUGACAGAAGAAGCACCGGCUAACUCCGUGCCAGCAGCCGCGGUAAAAC